CAUAGCAAUUUCCAACAAGUUGUAAUUCCAAGUCCUUUUAUGCACCAGGGAUCUGGCAUUGGAGAGAUACAGGCUCGGUAGAGGUGGCUUGUGUGCUAUGCUAGCCUUAGCAUAACACAGGACC